rnacentral:rRNA from 1 species
GCAUAACGCGAAGAACCUUACCCACCUUUGACAUGUACGGAAUCCUUUAGAGAUAGAGGAGUGCUCGAAAGAGAGCCGUAACACAGGUGCUGCAUGGCUGUCGUCAGCUCGUGUCGUGAGAUGUUGGGUUAAGUCCCGCAACGAGCGCAACCCUUGCCAUUAGUUGCUACAUUUAGUUGAGCACUCUAAUGGGACUGCCGGUGACAAACCGGAGGAAGGUGGGGAUGACGUCAAGUCCUCAUGGCCCUUAUAGGUGGGGCUACACACGUCAUACAAUGGCUGGUACAAAGGGUUGCCAACCCGCGAGGGGGAGCUAAUCCCAUAAAGCCAGUCGUAGUCCGGGUCGCAGUCUGCAACUCGACUGCGUGAAGUCGGAAUCGCUAGUAAUCGCGGAUCAGAAUGUCGCGGUGAAUACGUUCCCGGGUCUUGUACACACCG